rnacentral:tRNA from 1 species
CAAGGUGUAGCUUAACAUAAAGCACCCGGCUUACACCUGGGAGAUUUCAAUUAGACUUGACCACCCUGA